UACGGGGGGAGCAAGCGUUGUUCGGAUUUACUGGGCGUAAAGGGCGCGUAGGCGGCGUGACAAGUCACUUGUGAAAUCUCCGGGCUUAACCCGGAGCGGCCAAGUGAUACUGUCGUGCUAGAGUGCGGAAGGGGCUACUGGAAUUCUCGGUGUAGCGGUGAAAUGCGUAGAUAUCGAGAGGAACACCGGCGGCGAAGGCGGGUAGCUGGGCCGACACUGACGCUGAGGCGCGAAAGCCAGGGGAGCGAACGGG
rnacentral:rRNA from 1 species